rnacentral:rRNA from 1 species
GACGAACGCUGGCGGCGUGCUUAACACAUGCAAGUCGAACGAAGUGGCGAACGGGUGAGUAAUACGUGGGUAACCUGCCCUCCUUUUUGGGAUAAGCCUUGGAAACGGGGUCUAAUACCGACUAAAGGGGGAUGGGCUCGCGGCCUAUCAGCUUGUUGGUGGGGUGAUGGCCUACAAAGGCGGUGACGGGUAGCCGGCCUGAGAGAGGGAACGGCAAGAUGGGGACGGAGAUAGGGCCCAGACUCCGACGGGAGGCAGCAGUGGGGAAUAUUGCACAAUGGGCGCAAGCCUGAUGCAGCCAUGCCGCGUGUAUGAAGAAGGCCUUCGGGUGGUAAAGUACGGUCAGCGAGGAGGCGUUACUCGCAGAAGAAGCACCGGCUAACUCCGGGCCAGCAGCCGCGGUAAUAC